AGUGAACGCUGGCGGUAGGCCUAACACAUGCAAGUCGAACGGCAGCACAGUAAGAGCUUGCUCUUACGGGUGGCGAGUGGCGGACGGGUGAGGAAUACAUCGGAAUCUACUUUUUCGUGGGGGAUAACGUAGGGAAACUUACGCUAAUACCGCAUACGACCUACGGGUGAAAGCAGGGGAUCUUCGGACCUUGCGCGAUUGAAUGAGCCGAUGUCGGAUUAGCUAGUUGGCGGGGUAAAGGCCCACCAAGGCGACGAUCCGUAGCUGGUCUGAGAGGAUGAUCAGCCACACUGGAACUGAGGCACGGUCCAGACUCCUACGGGAGGCAGCAGUGGGGAAUAUUGGACAAUGGGCGCAAGCCUGAUCCAGCCAUACCGCGUGGGUGAAGAAGGCCUUCGGGUUGUAAAACCCUUUUGUUGGGAAAGAAAAGCAGCAGGUUAAUACCCCGCUGUUCUGACGGUACCCAAAGAAUAAGCACCGGCUAACUUCGUG
rnacentral:rRNA from 1 species